AGUUUUAGUAGUUUAAAUUAAAAUAUUGAUUUUGUAAAUCAAAGUUAAAUUUUUUUUCUAAAAC
rnacentral:tRNA from 1 species